CUCGUAUCAUUCUGUUAAUUACCUUCCUCGCCUCAUGCAAACAGAGCCUAAAGAGGCUAAAAUCUCCGAUAGAAAACAAAUCAAAAUCUCUGAUCGACCAUCGACGGCCCUUCAGAUUCCUGAAAUCCCCAAUUCUUUUCUAUAUUUAUUCUGCUAUAUUUGCGACUGAAAUGGUUUACAUAACUUCGUGGGACGAGUUCGUUGAGCGAUCGGCACAGUUGUUUCGCGCGGACCCUGAUUCAACGCGGUAUGUUAUGAAGUAUCGACACUGCGACGGCAAGCUGGUUCUCAAGGUCACUGAUGACAAAGAGUGUCUGAAGUUCAAGACGGACCAGGCACAGGGUGCUAAGAAGAUGGAGAAGCUGAAUAAUAUUUUUUUCACUUUGAUGUCUCGGGGCCCUGAUGCUGAUGUGUCAGAAGUUACAGGGAAAGAACAGACAGAAGCACAGCCAGGGAAGAAAGGAAGAGGAAGGAAACAAUAACUUGUUGGCUUUAAGACAAAGAGGAUUUGAAUGUCUUACUUGACUUGUGGAUGAAUUAAAUGAAUUUUUGGAAUGCUUAUGUGGAGGGUCCAUAUUAAUGCCAUUUUUAGGCAUUACCAUUGAAAAAAAUGUGGGAUGUUCUGCUCUUUUCUUAAUCCCAUUUAUGUGGCAAUGAUUCUAUCUGAAGCACAAUUUUUUUUUUUUU
rnacentral:misc_RNA from 1 species